GGGUGAGUAACACGUGGGUAACCUGCCUGUAAGACUGGGAUAACUCCGGGAAACCGGGGCUAAUACCGGAUGGUUGUUUGAACCGCAUGGUUCAAACAUAAAAGGUGGCUUCGGCUACCACUUACAGAUGGACCCGCGGCGCAUUAGCUAGUUGGUGAGGUAACGGCUCACCAAGGCAACGAUGCGUAGCCGACCUGAGAGGGUGAUCGGCCACACUGGGACUGAGACACGGCCCAGACUCCUACGGGAGGCAGCAGUAGGGAAUCUUCCGCAAUGGACGAAAGUCUGACGGAGCAACGCCGCGUGAGUGAUGAAGGUUUUCGGAUCGUAAAGCUCUGUUGUUAGGGAAGAACAAGUACCGUUCGAAUAGGGCGGUACCUUGACGGUACCUAACCAGAAAGCCACGGCUAACUACGUGCCAGCAGCCGCGGUAAUACGUAGGUGGCAAGCGUUGUCCGGAAUUAUUGGGCGUAAAGGGCUCGCAGGCGGUUUCUUAAGUCUGAUGUGAAAGCCCCCGGCUCAACCGGGGAGGGUCAUUGGAAACUGGGGAACUUGAGUGCAGAAGAGGAGAGUGGAAUUCCACGUGUAGCGGUGAAAUGCGUAGAGAUGUGGAGGAACACCAGUGGCGAAGGCGACUCUCUGGUCUGUAACUGACGCUGAGGAGCGAAAGCGUGGGGAGCGAACAGGAUUAGAUACCCUGGUAGUCCA
rnacentral:rRNA from 1 species